rnacentral:lncRNA from 1 species
AGUAACCAUUGCUGUUUGCUUAUAAUUGUGAGAAAUUGUUCAUUUAUAGAAAGGUAUUUAAAUAGACUAUAAUACGUUCAGGUGAUAUUUUCCUAGCAAUAAUAUUUGUUAUUAUAAGUAUUGCACCAAUAUUUAUUUUAGAAGUAGAACUAUCUAUGUUAGGAAAAUAUUUCGUGAGAGCUCUUGGGCCUGGCUAGUGAUCCUGAGCAUGUGAUGGAAGAGGAAAAUGAAACAAAGAAGAGAUAGAUAAACUACUGUAUAUAAGUUUUGAACAGAAGCUUUAGAUAAGAGAGAGCAGAGAAAAACAAGGAGGCUAUAUCAUUUAUGAUUUAAGUAGAACAUAUCAAAUUGUAAGAUAGAUCAAGUACAGUUUAUAUAUGAUCUUACUUUGUAAAACAUUAAAAUGAUGUGUGUCUAUGUGUGCACUUGUGUAAUAUCUGUUUCAUAUAUAUGAGAAAGAUGAAAUGACUGGAAGUAAAAUACCAAAAUGUUGAAAAAAGUGGUUACUACUGGGUGAUAUGGUUUGACUGUGUCCCCACCCAAAUCUCAUCUUGAAUUAUAGCUCUUAUAAUUCCCAUGUGUUGUGGGAGGGACACAGUGGGAGAUAAUUGAAUCACAGGAGUGGUUUCCCCCAUACUGUUCUCAUGGUAGUGAAUAAGUCUCAAGCAAUCUGAUGGCUUUAUAAGGGGUUUCCCCUUUCUCUUGGUUCUCAUUCUCUCUCGUCUGCUGCCAUGUAAGAUGUACCUUUCACCUUCCUCCAUGAGUGUGAGGCUUCCCCAGCAAUGUGAAACUUUCCCAAGAGUUAUGCUGUACAACAUUUGAUCCAUGGAUUAGGAGCAUCAGUAUCACCAAGGACCUUAUAAAUACAGAAUCUCACUCCACCUCAAAUGUACUGAAUUUUAAUUUGAAUUUUUAUAAGAUCUUUAGGUAAGUUUUAUGCACAUUAAGAGUUUAAGGAACACUGCUUUAGAGUAUAAAACGAGAGGAAUGCUGGUUGCCACAGUGU